CACGCACACCGCCGAAAACGUCAAACCUAGCAGUAAUCGCGAAAAUGUUGAAUUCUGAUAUCUGGAAAUCUUGGGAAAGAAAUGGAAAAUCGGAAUUUCUGAAACAAUGCAAAGCGCUACUGAAGGAAGACACCAGCCCUCUGUUCGCCAAAAACGACCGGAGAUCGGGUGUCUCGAGGGCAAUCUACGAACUAGUAUCACAUGGCGUCCGCGGUCACAUCAAAAAGGAAAGCGUUCUGGCGAUGCUUGGAGAGCUGGCCAGUUUACAUCCAGACAUUCCUUCGAUAUUGUUGGACAUUUUUGGUAUCCUGGAUGCUGAAACCGCUGCAAAUAGUGGCACCACUGGCAGCGAACGAACGGGAAAUGAAGCUCCAAGUGAAGAGCGUAUGGCAUUUUGCUACAUCGUGAAGGAGACGGAGCGCUUUUUGUCGGAGAAGCUGCUGAAAGAAAGACUGGAAAUUGACACCCUGCAGGAUGUGGGUACGAUAAAAAAUCGGAGCUUCUACACGAAAUUUAUCAAAGUUAAAACUAAACUAUACUAUAAGCAACGCCGCUUCAACUUGUUCCGGGAAGAAAGCGAAGGCUACGCUAAACUUAUCACGGAACUAAAUCAAGACUUUAACGAUUCGAUUACGGUGCAAGGCAUCUUGGAAAUAAUAAAAUCUUUGAUCGGUUGUUUCAACCUGGAUCCCAACCGUGUGCUGGAUAUUAUUCUAGAAUCAUUCGAGACCCGCCCGGAGCAUGAUAAAAUCUUCAUUCCGCUGCUUCAGGCGUAUAUUAACGAUGGCAACAUCAUUUGCGAGGUUCUCGGUUACAAGUAUCGGCAUUUUGCCGACAGCAAAGCACCGGAAUCGCUUUUCAAAGUGACAGCAUUACUCUUGCAGAACGGUGUUAUUAGACUGGAUGAGAUUUACGCUUGGUUGAGUCCCACUGACAAAUCAAUAAUUACUGAGUGGGAAACGGAAGUCGCCGAAGCAAAGGAGUUUGUCCGUAAGCUGAACGUUGUUUCCACCAACAAAGACAAAGAGCAAGAACCAGAGCCGGAGAGGGAAAUAACCCCGGAAAAGUACUCCACCAAUCAAAAGUGGGGUCUUUGUGAGGCACUUCUGCUCAUCGGAGACUGGAACACGGCUCAGAUAUUGUUGAAAAAACUUCCCGAGCAAUCUGUCAUGGUCAAUGAACAGAUUUCCAGAGCCGUUUGUCGCCUGUUGCAUAUGAUUAUCGAGCCAGUUUACCGCCUGAAAUGCGCACUGCCCUGCAAUAUUAAAGGCCGCCCAAUUAGCAAUGGGCUUAGCAAGUUAGCGCCACCACCGGUGACCACAAUUUCCAAACUCCGUAAUCAUGCGUUUCCAAUGUUCAUCGCUUUGGGGCCUUCGUUGCACUACGAUUCUGUUCUACUGUACAAAUUGCUACGUUUGGUGCGAGUUAUACUGACUGAAAUGAAUGUGGAUCCCCUGAAUCCCCCCGGGCCGAAAACGGAAAAUGAACCGCUCUAUUACGAUAUCCUUUCGCUGUUGGAUUCUGCCAUCCUACCAGCACUUUCCUACCUGGACUGCAACUGUUGCGUUUCGGAGGAAAUUUGGUCCAUCGUUAAACUCUAUCCAUACCAGUAUCGGUACAGUUUGUACGCCCGCUGGAAAAAUGACACUUAUUUGCUGCAACCGAAAUUGAUUCGCCGCCGAGGAAAUGCUCAGAAGCAGAUAAAGGCUCUGAUGAAGCGAGUCAGUAAGGAAAAUAGCAAACCCGUGGGUAGACUAAUCGGCAAAUUAAGUCACUGUGCACCCGGAUUCUUAUUCGAUUAUAUUCUACUGCAAAUUCAAAUCUACGACAAUCUAAUCACUCCAGUAGUGGACUCUCUCAAGUAUCUGACAUCGCUAUCGUACGACGUGCUCGGUUAUUGUCUGAUCGAGUCGCUAGAACAAGUCGAUCGUAACCCAAUGCAAAACGACGGAACGUCGAUCUCACUAUGGCUGCAAAGUUUAGCCAAUUUCUGCGGCGCAAUCUAUAAAAAGUAUAACAUCGAACUGAGCGGGCUGCUGCAGUAUGUAGCGAAUCAGCUGAAGGCGCACAAAAGCUUGGAUUUGUUGAUUCUGAAGGAGGUGGUUCAAAAGAUGACAGGUAUUGAGGCCGCCGAAGAGAUGACGGCCGAGCAAAUCAGUGCAAUGUGCGGCGGGGAGCUGCUGCGAGGCGAGGCCGGUUACUUCAGUCAGGUGCGUAACACGAAAAAAUCGUCCCAGCGCUUAAAGGAUGCCUUGGCCAGUAACGAUCUGGCGGUGGCGCUGUGCCUGUUGAUUGCCCAGCAGAAGCACUGUGUCAUCUAUCGUGAAACGGCGUCCAGUCAUCUGAAGCUUGUGGGAAAACUGUACGAUCAGUGUCAAGACACUCUCGUCCAGUUCGGAACGUUCCUCGGAUCGACCUACUCGGUGGAAGAGUACGUCGAACGCUUGCCAACCAUUCAUAGUAUGCUGCAGGAGUAUCACAUCCACUCGGACGUAGCCUUCUUCCUGGCCCGUCCGAUGUUCUCACAUGCAAUCAGUCAAAAGUACGAUCAACUUCGUAAGGCAGACCAGAACCCUAAGAAGCUAUCUACCUCCCAAAAGAUGGCUAAGUAUUUGGAAGCAACGGCGUUCGUAAUGAAUCCGAUAAUCGAAUCCGUUCGUCCGCUGCAUCCACCAAAAGUAUGGGAAGACAUCAGUCCGCAGUUCCUGGUAAGCUUCUGGUCUCUUAGCAUGUACGACCUGCAGGUACCAUCCGAGAGUUACCAACGUGAGAUCAACAAACUGAAGCAGUUGUCCCUGUCCGUGAUGGAUUCCAAAGAACAGAAUGCAUCAAAGAACAAAAAAGAACAGGAACGUCACGCGGCAUUGAUGGAAAAGUUGCAAGACGAACGGAAGAAACAGCAGGAGCACGUUGACAAAAUCAUCCACCGACUGACCAGCGAAAAGGACUCCUGGUUUUUGUCACGUUCCGCCAAAUCUGCGAAAAACGAAACCAUCACGCAAUUUCUGCAGCUGUGUCUAUUCCCGCGUUGCACCUUCACCGCGCUGGAUGCCCACUACUGUGCCAAAUUUGUGCAUACCAUUCACAGUCUUAAAACAGCCAACUUUUCCACCCUGUUGUGCUAUGAUCGAAUUUUCUGUGACAUUACCUACUCGGUCACAUCCUGCACGGAGAAUGAAGCCACUCGCUAUGGUCGUUUUCUCUGCGCCAUGCUGGAAACGGUAAUGCGCUGGCAUGCCGAUCAGAGCACUUUCAAUCGCGAGUGCUCUAACUAUCCUGGCUUUGUAACCAAGUUCCGCGUUAGCAAUCAGUUCUCGGAGGCGAAUGAUCACGUGAAUUAUGAAAACUAUCGUCACGUGUGCCACAAGUGGCACUACAAGAUCACCAAAGCAAUGGUCUUCUGUUUGGACUCGAAGGACUACAUGCAGAUCCGCAACUCGUUGAUCAUUUUGAUGCGCAUUUUACCACAUUUCCCGGUGUUGGCCAAGCUGGCGCAGAUAAUAGAGAAAAAGGUGGAGAAAGUGCGCGAAGAGGAGAAGAAUCAGCGACAGGAUCUGUUUGUACUGGCGUCCAGUUACAUUGGUCAGCUGAAGGCCAAGGCCGGCCAGAUGAUGCGCGAGAGCGAUUUCCACCAGGUGUCGGAAAAACCGGUCAAAGUGGAGCAACCGGAGACGAAAGCCAUGAACGGGGAUAGCAAGUCUGAUCGCAAAGAGAUUAAGUCGGAGAAAAAGAUUAUCGUUUCCGUCAGCUCGUCGUCCAGCCAAUCUUCGAAGCAGCUACAGCAAAACUCCGGCUCAGUUGCCAACAGUGUCGGUAACAGCGGUGGACUCAGUAGUCCAGACGUGAAGAUCAUCGAGCGCGAAGUUAAGAAAGAAACACCGGCGCGGGAAUCUCGCGAGACAUCGAUCAGCAGCUCGAAGGAAAAAUCUUCCAAGGAUAUUAAACGGGAAGAGCGUGCCCGUGAGAAAGAACGCGAACGGGAAGAGGCAGCCGCGGAACGCAAACGGGAGAAGGAUAAGGAGAAAAGACGAGAUAAAACCAGAGCCGCUUUAGCAGCAGCUGCCGCCGUGGAAUACGAACUGCAGUUACAGCAACAGCAGCAGCAACAACAACAGCAAACCACCGAGCGGGAAUCACGAGCUAGUGAGCGAGAAAGGGAGAGAGAGCGCGGCGAACGGGAUCUCAGCUCGGUAUCCAACUCGAGCAAUGAGCAGCACCGUCGCAGUCAGGAUCCACCGGAACAUGAUAGAGAAGUGAAACGACGCAAACUGGAAAGUUCCAGCUCCAAGGUUAGUAUUCUGGUGUAAAAACACUUCACAGUGCUAAGAAAGAAAGCUAGAGAAAGAAACCAAAGUGUGGUGAGAGCAAAACAGUUGAAGAGAUUGGGCGAGAGGAUGAUGUGACCGGACGGACGAUAUCGGUUGGCGGUGUUGGUCUCCUUACGCGGCAGCAGGUGCUAAGUGUUACGGUCGACGGGUGGUGUUGUAAUCAAGCAGAGAAAUUGACAGCUACUACAGUCGGUUGCAGCAGUGCCAGCGAUCGGAUACGAUGGAAACGUAAACUUGCAACUGGAAAUUCAUCAUAAGUUUAGUUUUAACCAAGAGGAAAAAACACUAUGUGUUUGUCUUCAUGUUUACAACAUCUUCGGAAGUAGGUGAAAAGUUUGCAUUGCCGAUGCGGAGGAAAAACUGAAAAUAUCCAUCAAAGGAGGAGCUAUUUUGAAGGAAAUCUUUGAAAAAUCUUGGAGAAUACUUGAAACCGAAACUAGAGGAUCACAACCCUGUAUGAAUACAGUUAUGUUACAAUUCUUUUGAGAAAAUGCAGUCAAAAGGAAGGAUACAUAUCUUUUGGCAUCACAAUUAACAAACAGUACACGAAAAACAUCUGGGGACUAAUUUGGAAUGCAUAUUGGAUGCUUUAUCGAAAACUGAAUCCCGAAAAAUUCAAACGCAAAUCAAAUCGAAAGGUAGCUCCGAAGAUAACAAAAAUCGAUGAACGCGACAGAACCACAAGUAACCCGCCACAGAGGCCUGAUGUGUUUCAAUAUGCGAAACCCGUUAACGAUGGAAAAAAGUGAUGGUAAUGGACACAACAUUGAGAUCAUUCAACCCGGAUAACACUGGAGAACUGGAGGAUUCUGGAGCAGAUCUACUAUUAAUCUACCAGGAAGCGGAAAAAGUGAUAGAAAUCAUAAAACCGUAUUAAAGUUUUGUUACUUCUUAUCUUCGAUAGAAAUUUAAACUCGCGGUCAACUCGUAAUUGAUUAAAUAAUUUUUGCUAAUCAUCCGUAAUAUUUUUGGACUGAAGAUUAGAAUCAUUGUCGUGAAUAAUUUGUUCAACCCAACAAACGUCAUACGCAAAUUAAUAUAAAGCUGGUCAUUCGUUGUCGCGUGAAACUUUUCACCGUUAAAAAAACUAUAAAACGAUUUAAAUCAUAUUUGUUGAUUAUUGUGUCAAAACAAAAGUGAUUUCAAGCAGGAAUUCGUACCAGCAGGACAUCCGAUUGCCGCCCUUCAACCGCAAUUGUAUGUCAACGAAAAAAAGUGAUUACUGAAGAAAACCGUGCAGUCCCACGAACCUCGUUCAACUCGGUCUUCCCUUGUUGUUGUUUUGAAUGUGAUGCCUGAUCGCUAUACCGCACUCACCCUCUGUACUCCUCUCUUCCGUCCGCGGGUACGCGCAAGAGUAAACACGACGACAUCAUUGGCAGUAUCCUGCAGUCAUCGUCCUCAUCCGAGUCCAAGAAGGAACGCAGCGGUAAAAGUAAGGACAAACGCGAUAAAACCUUCGAAGAGAAGGAACUCCGUAAGGAGCGCAAACUCGG